GCCCCGGUAGCUCAGAGGUAAGAGCGGCAGCCUCGUAAGUUGUUGGCCGCGGGUUCGAAUCCCGCCCGGGGCUCCA
rnacentral:tRNA from 1 species